GGCAAAUGCACUCUGUGUCGCAUUGAAACACAGCCACAUGUGAUGACAAUUUGCUAGUUUGCUAGAUCAAGUGGGAACGGGGUGGGUCUAUAACCAAGCUGAUCACAUUGAAAACGCAUCGUACAUCCU